GUACAGCUGACGAGUCCCAAAAUAGGACGAAACGCGUGUCCUGGAU
rnacentral:hammerhead_ribozyme from 1 species